GACGAACGCUGGCGGCGUGCUUAACACAUGCAAGUCGAACGAGUGGCGAACGGGUGAGUAAUGCAUCGGAACGUACCGAGUAAGGGGGGAUAACUGGUCGAAAGGAUAGCUAAUAACGCAUAUUAUUCGAGCGGCCGAUGUAUGAUUAGCGGGGUGGGGGGGUAAAGGCCCACCAAGGCGACGAUCAGUAGCGGGUCUGAUAGGAUGAGCCGCCACACUUGGACUGAGACACGGCCCAGACUCCUACGGGAGGCAGCAGUUGGGAAUUUUGGACAAUGGGCGCAAGCCUGAUCCAGCCAUGCCGCGUGUCUGAAGAAGGUCUUCGGGUUGUAAAGGACUUUUGUCAGGGAAGCGGUACCUGAAGAAUAAGCACCGGCUAACUACGUGCCAGCAGCCGCGGUAAUUC
rnacentral:rRNA from 1 species